GACGAACGCUGGCGGCGUGCUUAACACAUGCAAGUCGAACGGAAAGGCCCUGCUUUUUGGGGGUGCGCGAGUGGCGAACGGGUGAGUAACACGUGAGUAACCUGCCCUUGACGUUGGGAUAACUUCAGGAAACUGGGGCUAAUACCGGAUAGGAGCUCCUGCUGCAUGGUGGGGGUUGGAAAGUUUCGGCGGUUGGGGAUGGACUCGCGGCUUAUCAGCUUGUUGGUGGGGUAGUGGCUUACCAAGGCUUUGACGGGUAGCCGGCCUGAGAGGGUGACCGGCCACAUUGGGAUUGGGAUGCGGCCCAGACUCCUACGGGAGGCAGCAGUGGGGAAUAUUGCCCAAUGGGAGGAGGCAUGAUGUAGCAACGCCGCGUGCGGGAUGACGGCCUUCGGGUUGUAAACCGCUUUCGCCUGUGACGAAGCGUGAGUGACGGUAAUGGGUAAAGAAGCACCGGCUAACUACGUG
rnacentral:rRNA from 1 species